rnacentral:pre_miRNA from 1 species
UUCCCCGGCUGUCUUGAGCGAGUCAGUGGCUCUGGACUUCAUGUAGAUUUAAUUCAUGACUAGAGACUGACUCGUUUGGGACGGUCGGAA